AUGCUUAACACAUGCAAGUCUACUUGAUCCUUCGGGUGAUGGUGGCGGACGGGUGAGUAACGCGUAAAGAACUUGCCUUGCAGUCUGGGACAACGUCUGGAAACGGACGCUAAUACCGGAUAUUAUGAUUGAAUCGCAUGAUUUGAUUAUGAAAGCUAUAUGCGCUGCGAGAGAGCUUUGCGUCCCAUUAGUUAGUUGGUGAGGUAACGGCUCACCAAGACGAUGAUGGGUAGCCGGCCUGAGAGGGUGAACGGCCACAAGGGGACUGAGACACGGCCCUUACUCCUACGGCACGCAUCAUUGGGGAAUAUUGGACAAUGGACCAAAAGUCUGAUCCAGCAAUUCUGUGUGCACGAUGAAGUUUUUCGGAAUGUAAAGUGCUUCCAGUUGGCAAGAAGAAAGUGACGGUACCAACAGAAGAAGCGACGGCUAAAUACUUGCCAGCAGCCGCGGUAAUACGUAUGUCGCAAGCGUUAUCCGGAUUUAUUGGGCGUAAAGCGCCUCUAGGCGGCUUGGUAAGUCUGAUGUGAAGAUGCGGGGCUCAACUCCGUAUUGCGUUGGAAACUGCCAAACUAGAGUACUGGAGAGGAAAGCGGAAGUACAAGUGUAGAGGUGAAAUUCUUAGAUAUUUGAACGAAUGCCGAUGGGGAAGCCAGCCUACUGGAAAGAUACUGACGCUUAAGCGCGAAAGCGUGGGUAGCAAACAGGAUUGGAUACCCUGGUAGUCCACGCCGUAAACGAUGAUUACUAGGUGUUGGGGGUCGAACCUCAGCGCCCAAGCUAACGCGAUAAGUAAUCCGCCUGGGGAGUACGUACGCAAGUAUGAAACUCAAAGGAAUUGACGGGGACCCGCACAAGCGGUGGAGCAUGUGGUUUAAUUCGACGCAACGCGAGGAACCUUACCAGCGUUUGACAUCCCAAGAAGUUAACAGAGAUGUUUUCGUGCCUCUUCGGAGGAACUUGGUGACAGGUGGUGCAUGGCUGUCGUCAGCUCGUGUCGUGAGAUGUUGGGUUCCGUCCCGCAACGAGCGCAACCCCUUUCGUAUGUUACCAUCAUUAAGUUGGGGACUCAUGCGAGACCGCCUGCGAUGAGCAGGAGGAAGGUGGGGAUGACGUCAAGUCAUCAUGCCCCUUAUACGCUGGGCUACACACGUGCUACAAUGGGUAGUACAGAGAGUCGCUAACCCGCGAGGGCAAGCUAAUCUCAUAAAACUAUUCUUAGUUCGGAUUGUACUCUGCAACUCGCGCCCCUGAAGUUGGAAUCGCUAGUAAUCGCAAAUCAGCUAAGUUGCGGUGUUUGCGUUCUCGGGUCUUGUUCUCCCCGCCCGUC
rnacentral:rRNA from 1 species